UACGUAGGGCGCAAGCGUUGUCCGGAAUUAUUGGGCGUAAAGAGCUCGUAGGCGGUGUGUCACGUCGGCCGUGAAAACCUGCAGCUUAACUGUGGGCGUGCGGUCGAUACGGGCAUCACUGGAGUUCGGCAGGGGAGACUGGAAUUCCUGGUGUAGCGGUGAAAUGCGCAGAUAUCAGGAGGAACACCGGUGGCGAAGGCGGGUCUCUGGGCCGAUACUGACGCUGAGGAGCGAAAGCCAGGGGAGCGAACGGG
rnacentral:rRNA from 1 species